rnacentral:tRNA from 1 species
GUGGUGGCUCAGUGGUAGAGCGCUUGUCUGGCAUGUGUAAGGCACUGGGUUCAAUUCUCAGCACCACA